CAGUCGCCGCGGUAAUACGAAGGGGGCUAGCGUUGCUCGGAAUCACUGGGCGUAAAGGGUGCGUAGGCGGGUCUUUAAGUCAGGGGUGAAAUCCUGGAGCUCAACUCCAGAACUGCCUUUGAUACUGAGGAUCUUGAGUUCGGGAGAGGUGAGUGGAACUGCGAGUGUAGAGGUGAAAUUCGUAGAUAUUCGCAAGAACACCAGUGGCGAAGGCGGCUCACUGGCCCGAUACUGACGCUGAGGCACGAAAGCGUGGGGAGCAAACAGGAUUAGAUACCCCAGUAGUCCCUGUCUCUUUACA
rnacentral:rRNA from 1 species